rnacentral:sRNA from 1 species
AUCUAGCCCAGAUAGUAGCGUUAUCCUUUAUGGUUGGGUUUCAACCAUAAAGAUAUAGCGUAUAGCUGGAAAUAGC